rnacentral:rRNA from 1 species
CCUACGGGAGGCAGCAGUGAGGAAUAUUGGUCAAUGGGCGCUAGCCUGAACCAGCCAAGUAGCGUGAAGGAUGACUGCCCUAUGGGUUGUAAACUUCUUUUAUAUGGGAAUAAAGUGCAGUAUGUAUACUGCUUUGCAUGUACCUUUUGAAUAAGGAUCAGCUAACUCCGUGCCAGCAGCCGCGGUAAUACGGGAGAUCCGAGCGUUAUCCGGAUUUAUUGGGUUUAAAGGGAGCGUAGGCGGGUGGUUAAGUCAGUUGUGAAAGUUUGCGGCUCAAACGUAAAAUUGCAGUUGAUACUGGCAUCCUUGAGUACAGUAGAGGUAGGCGGAAUGCGUGGUGUAGCGGUGAAAUGCUUAGAUAUCACGAAGAACUCCGAUUGCGAAGGCAGCCUACUAAACUGCCACUGACAUUGAUGCUCGAAAGUGUGGGUAUCAAACAGGAUUAGAUACCCGGGUAGGC